rnacentral:misc_RNA from 1 species
GAAAUGCGAUAAGUAGUGUGAAUGGCAGAAUUCAGUGAAUCAUCGAAUCUUUGAACGCACAUUGCGCCCCUUGGUAUUCCAUGGGGCAUGCCUGUUCGAGCGUCAUUUGUACCCUCAAGCUCUGCUUGGUGUUGGGUGUUUGUCCCCGUCUCCGCGCGUGGACUCGCCCCAAAGUGAUUGGCAGCCGGCGUACUGGUCCCGGAGCGCAGCACAUGUCGCGCAAACGAGUGCCUUGGUACGGCGGCGUCCAUAAGCCCCUCUCUCACGCUCUUGACCUCGGAUCAGGUAGGGAUACCCGCUGAACUUAAGC